rnacentral:lncRNA from 1 species
CUCCGCUUCGCAUUCUCCCCAGAACCUCGCUCCACCUCGGAUGCGCUUGAGGUGGGCAUAGGAAUUUGCUUCGAAGCCUGUAACGGAAAAGAAGACGGGAAUGGAGGGCUUACAGGGAAGAGAUUUCACAGGUUCUAGAUGAAUAAACUCAACCCAGACAGAUGCUUUCAGAGUCCAGGGAGAAGUGCAGCUGAGACCUGCUGAGAAGCGUGGUGAUGCUGGGAACUUCAAGAGCAACCAGGCCUGGCUUGCCAGCCAGCCUGUCCCAGCUCUCCUCCCAGCUCUGCGUCUCUCCAGCUUCCUUCCUAAAUCAC